UACGUAGGGUGCGAGCGUUGUCCGGAAUUACUGGGCGUAAAGGGCUCGUAGGCGCCCACUAAGUCCGACGUGAAAUCCCCAGGCUUAACUUGGGAACUGCGUCGGAUACUGGUGGGCUUGAAUCUGGGAGAGGGAUGCGGAAUUCCAGGUGUAGCGGUGAAAUGCGUAGAUAUCUGGAGGAACACCGGUGGCGAAGGCGCAUCCUGGACCGGCAUUGACGCUGAGUGAGCGAAAGCCAGGGGAGCAAACGGG
rnacentral:rRNA from 1 species